rnacentral:rRNA from 1 species
ACGACGCUGGCGGCGUGCCUAAUACAUGCAAGUCGAACGGUCUUUCUAUGGAAGCUUGCUUCCACUGAGAAGAUAGUGGCGGACGGGUGAGUAACACGUGGGUAACCUGCCCAUAAGGAGGGGGAUAACAUCCGGAAACGGGUGCUAAUACCGCAUAGUUUUCUUGAUCGCAUGAUCGGGAAAGGAAAGACGGCCUUUGUGCUGUCGCUUAUGGAUGGACCCGCGGCGUAUUAGUUAGUUGGUGAGGUAAUGGCUCACCAAGACGAUGAUACGUAGCCGACCUGAGAGGGUGAUCGGCCACAUUGGGACUGAGACACGGCCCAAACUCCUACGGGAGGCAGCAGUAGGGAAUCUUCCGCAAUGGACGAAAGUCUGACGGGGCAACGCCGCGUGAGUGAAGAAGGUUUUCGGAAUCGUAAAACUCUGUUGUCAGAGAAGAACAAGUUGGAGAGUAACUGCUCCAGCCUUGACGGUAUCUGACCAGAAAGCCACGGCUAACUACGUGCCAGCAGCUGC